ACAUUUCAAGCUACGUUGUGAAAAUGCGGUAAGAGAAAGACGAUCAAGUACUGCUGGUCAUUGAAAACAUGGGAGUAGGUACUUCCAGGACCAUUGGAUCCUCAGGCUGAAUGGAUUUCAGGGUAGCUGCGACUCGUCAAAGUGUGUGCCACAGGAUGUCUGCAUAAAGCUGACAAGAUCCAUCUUUCAUUCCCUCAUAACUUUGGGAUUUACAGGAUAAGAUGCUGCCAUACACAUUCUACAGCCAUGGCUUCCAGCCCCUGCACUUGAUG